rnacentral:rRNA from 1 species
AUGUCAUCCAUGAUAUAUGAGCUUGUUCACUUCCUUAGCAAAUUUGUUAUGAUCUACCUUGAUGGCAUUUUCAUACAUCAUGAUCAUUUUGUCAACCAUCAAUUGCAUGAUGACAUUCACAUAUUGAAAAUCCAUUGCUAUGUUCAUGCUUUUGAUACACCAUCUCAUUAUGACAUCAUUUUGCAUCGUGGUUGCAUUGCUCAUAUUCAUAACUCAAUUGUGUGCACAAUGAUUGCAUUUCCUCCCAUGAAUGCGUUGCAUCUCAUUAUAGAUCAUCUUGAUAAGUUUCAUGUGCUUUGUCACGACCAAUCUUGCCGCACGGACUCAUUCUUGCAUGAUGGACACUUUGUGUGCGCUAACCAUUGUAUUUCCGAGUGUUGCUUGUGUUUGCUCUUUUUGCAUGUCUAUCACUCCGGCGACACCUUGGACUACUCGGAUGGCGCCAUAUCUUCAACUUCGUCCAACUACAAGUUCGUUUACGACAACCGUUUCCAUGGUGAUGAGGAUCACGAUCCGAGAUCUGAUCUUUCCCAAGGGGGGGGGAGAUGA